rnacentral:rRNA from 1 species
GACGAACGCUGGCGGCGUGCCUAAUACAUGCAAGUCGAGCGAAGUUUUUCUGGUGCUUGCACUAGAAAAACUUAGCGGCGAACGGGUGAGUAACACGUAAAGAACCUGCCUCAUAGACUGGGACAACUAUUGGAAACGAUAGCUAAUACCGGAUAACAGCAUUAACUGCAUGGUUGAUGUUUAAAAGUUGGUUAUGCUAACACUAUGAGAUGGCUUUGCGCUGCAUUAGCUAGUUGGUGGGGUAAAGGCCUACCAAGGCGACGAUGCAUAGCCGACCUGAGAGGGUGAUCGGCCACACUGGGACUGAGACACGGCCCAGACUCCUACGGGAGGCAGCAGUAGGGAAUCUUCCGCAAUGGGCGAAAGCCUGACGGAGCAACGCCGCGUGAGUGAAGAAGGAUUUCGGUUCGUAAAGCUCUGUUGUUAGGGAAGAAUGAUUGUGUAGUAACUAUACACAGUAGAGACGGUACCUAACCAGAAAGCCACGGCUAACUACGUGCCAGCAGCCGCGGUAAUACGUAGGUGGCAAGCGUUGUCCGGAAUUAUUGGGCGUAAAGCGCGCGCAGGUGGUUUAAUAAGUCUGAUGUGAAAGCCCACGGCUCAACCGUGGAGGGUCAUUGGAAACUGUUAAACUUGAGUGCAGGAGAGAAAAGUGGAAUUCCUAGUGUAGCGGUGAAAUGCGUAGAGAUUAGGAGGAACACCAGUGGCGAAGGCGGCUUUUUGGCCUGUAACUGACACUGAGGCGCGAAAGCGUGGGGAGCAAACAGG